UAGGGAAUCUUCCGCAAUGGGCGAAAGCCUGACGGAGCAACGCCGCGUGAGUGAAGAAGGAUUUCGGUUCGUAAAGCUCUGUUGUUAGGGAAGAAUGAUUGUGUAGUAACUAUACACAGUAGAGACGGUACCUAACCAGAAAGCCACGGCUAACUACGUGCCAGCAGCCGCGGUAAUACGUAGGUGGCAAGCGUUGUCCGGAAUUAUUGGGCGUAAAGCGCGCGCAGGUGGUUUAAUAAGUCUGAUGUGAAAGCCCACGGCUCAACCGUAGAGGGUCAUUGGAAACUGUUAAACUUGAGUGCAGGAGAGAAAAGUGGAAUUCCUAGUGUAGCGGUGAAAUGCGUAGAGAUUAGGAGGAACACCAGUGGCGAAGGCGGCUUUUUGGCCUGUAACUGACACUGAGGCGCGAAAGCGUGGGGAGCAAACAGGAUUAGAUACCCUGGUAGUCCACGCCGUAAACGAUGAGUGCUAAGUGUUGGUCUCAUAAGAGAUCAGUGCUGCAGCUAACGCAUUAAGCACUCCGCCUGGGGAGUACGACCGCAAGGUUG
rnacentral:rRNA from 1 species